GCCCGUCUAGCUCAGUUGGUAGAGUGCAAGGCUCUUAAUCUUGCGGUUUUGGAUUCUCGCCCCAAGGUGGCG
rnacentral:tRNA from 1 species